rnacentral:rRNA from 1 species
UAGAGUUUGAUCAUGGCUCAGGACGAACGCUGGCGGUGCGCCUAAUGCAUGCAAGUCGAACGGGCAAUGGGGCUUCGGCCCCGGCGCUAGUGGCAGACAGCUGAGUAACACGUAAGUGAUCUGCCCCGGAGAGGGGGAUAAUCCGGAGAAAUCCGGCCUAAUACCCCGUACGUUCAUAUGGUUACGGCCGUAUGAAGAAAGGUUUCGACCGCUCUGGGAGGAGCUUGCGGCCUAUCAGGUAGCUGGCGGGGUAAUGGCCCACCAAGCCUAAGACGGGUAACCGAUGUGAGAGCAUGAUCGGUCAGAGGGGGACUGAGACACGGCCCCCUCUCCUACGGGAGGCAGCAGCAGGGAAUCUUGCGCAAUGGGCGAAAGCCUGACGCAGCGACACCGCGUGGGGGAAGAAGGCUUUAGGGUUGUAAACCCCUUUUCUGUGGGAAGAGAUAGGACGGUACCACAGGAAUAAGCAUCGGCUAACUACAUGCCAGCAGCCGCGGUAAUACGUAGGAUGCAAGCGUUGUCCGGAUUUACUGGGCGUAAAGGGUGUGUAGGCGGCAUGUUAAGUCUCAUGUGAAAUCUCCCGGCUCAACUGGGAGCGGUCAUGGGAAACUGGCAAGCUCGAGGGCAGCAGAGGAAAGCGGAAUUCCGGGAGUAGUGGUGGAAUGCGUAGAUACCCGGAGGAACACCAGAGGCGAAGGCGGCUUUCUGGGCUGUACCUGACGCUGAGACACGAAAGCGUGGGGAGCAAACCGGAUUAGAUACCCGGGUAGUCCACGCCCUAAACGAUGGAUACUAGAUAUAGGGGGUAUCGACCCCUCCUGUGUCGGAGCUAACGCGAUAAGUAUCCCGCCUGGGGAGUACGGCCGCAAGGCUAAAACUCAAAGGAAU